rnacentral:rRNA from 1 species
UAUUUAUAUUAUCUGGUUAUUCUUGAUGAUUAUUCUCACUAUGCGUGGACGUUUCCUUUACGACGAAAGUCGGAUGCACUCUCCACUUUGUCUGCCUUUUACUCCUAUGUCAGCAUGCAGUUUGGGCGUCCCAUCCUUGCUCUUCAGACUGACAAUGGAAAAGAGUUCGACAAUCUUGCUUUCCGCACUUUUCUGUCACACCACGGCACAAUUUUUCGUCUCACAUGCCCGUAUACUUCACAGCAGAACGGUCGAGCCGAACGCGGCCUUUGCACUCUGAACGACUGUGUUCGGACGCUCCUGUUCCACGCUAAUGUGCCGCCUCGUUUCUGGCCAGAUGCACUCGCUACUGCUUCACUUCCCCUUAACCUUCGCCCUUGCCGCCCAUGGUGGAACUAUGCACCUCACCAUCUUCCCUUCGGUAUGCCCCCAUCUUAUGAUGACUUGCGUAUUUUCGGGUGCCUUUGCUAUCCUGGCACUGCGGACUCCGCUCCUCACAAACUCGCACCUCGUUCUGUCGCUUGCAUCUUCAUCGUCUACCCCUCCAACUCCAAGGGAUAUCGGUGCUACGAUCCCGUCUCCCACCAUGUGUUCACUUCCCGGCACAUUUACUUUGAUGAGCAUGUGUUUCCGUUUCAGCAGGUACCUCCGGCUGUUCCUCCCGCCACCGGUGACGCGGGUUCCUCGGCGUCGCUCCCAGGGCGCUUGCGC